UACAUGUGGUUUAGAAUUUCAGUAAUCAAACCAUAAUAGCUUAAAAAUACCAAGUUAGCUACCAAAUCUAUGUGCAGACAAGAUUAGGAUUCAAUAAUGUGCUGACUAGUUUCAUUCACUCUAAACAUAUUAUUUUCAGAUUUGACUUAAAUAGCUAAGUUACUACUUUAUCGCUUUGUCCAAACCAAUGCCUUCCCUCUCCUUCCUUCUACAGUACCAUCUUUUUUCCUGCUCAAUAUUAUCAAACCAAGCUACAAAUCUAAUUAAACUGUCUUGAUGCCAAAAUCUCUGCUCCUGGAGAAAUGCAUCAUGCAGCACAUCUAGAGUGAAACUAAGGGUUUAGUUCUGGAGGCAUUAUGUUGGUGGCCGUGGGAGGAAGUCAGUCAAUCAUUUAGUUCUGCUGAGAUAAGCUUGGACCCAGUCGAAAGAAAGUUAAAAUCUCCAAAGAAUGGAAAGACUGAAAUACAAGAAAAAGAGACAGAAGCUACAAGAGAAGAGAGAAGAAAUAAAAAAGAAAGACAGGAACUUCACGUUCUUAAAAUAAAAGGUAAAACUUCCCUUCUAGACUCUAUUGCUCAAGAUUUUCAGCAUUGACCGCGAUAACAAAAACUUCUAAGGCUUUUCGAAGUAAGUCUUUCGAAAAAUUUCACUUAUUUUUUUAACUCACUAACUAUAUCCAGAGGGAAACAAAAUUCAACUGAAAUAUGAAGCUCUCUUGGAUGUCAUAGACAGCCCAUACUACAUGUUUUCCAAAAGGGAGGAAGUUUUCCAAAAAUCUGUAGAAUGAGGUAGGUGUUUGUUCAUUCUGGGCAAAUCAUCCAUUAACAUUCAGAAGACUUUUAAGUAUGCCAUGAGAGAUUCUACCCAUAGCCUCUAUAGCACUUGUAUUUCUUCAGCUAAUUAUAUGAAUACAUUAAUUAACAGUGGCAAGGACAAGCCUCAGCCCUCUAAAGGCAGGCAGUGACUUUACAAUUCACAGAGAAUAAAUUGGAAUCAAAAUAAGGCUUGGCUUCUGUCAAUGGUGUGCUGGUGCGUG
rnacentral:lncRNA from 1 species